rnacentral:rRNA from 1 species
UACGGGGGGAGCAAACGUUGUUCGGAAUCACUGGGCGUAAAGGGCGUGUAGGCGGCUGGAUAAGUGGGAUGUUAAAUCCCCCGGCUCAACCGGGGACCUGCAUCUCAUACUGUUCAGCUCGAGCACAUCAGAGGAGACUGGAAUUCCCGGUGUAACGGUGAAAUGCGUAGAUAUCGGGAGGAACACCAGUGGCGAAGGCGAGUCUCUGGGAUGAUGCUGACGCUGAGGCGCGAAAGCCAGGGGAGCAAACGGG